AAAUAUUUUACCAACGCUAAAAGCUAUCGGUUUACAAGGACAAGAAUAACGUCGUACGUAGUUCGAGGUGCAUCGAAGAGAAAUGUGGUGUCGCAAGAGGAAGGUCUUCUAAGAGCGGGCCAUUUCUCAGUGUGUUACUCGUGCAGCUCAUUCGUUUUCACCGUCCCGAACCGGCGUAGCCGUCGUUCCUGACACUGUGAUAAACAGCCGCCUCUGUCCCAUAAAGGGAAAUUAAUGUUCUGGAUGGUAAUGGUAAAUGGGGUGGAAAGAAGACAAGAAAUCGUAAGAUAAACGACAUCGGGAUGUGCCGAAGGCUUGUGGCAUCUUUUAUCGACGAAAAGAAACGAAAGGAGAAAAAAAGAAACUUUGCGAGUGUGAGAAGAUAUCGAAAUUUGGUGUUAACUUUUGACCUUGGCUUAAAGGUCAAUCUGAGAAGAUAAUCCUUAAAGGUUUUCCUUCUCGCAAACUGUUUUUAUUCGACAAUUCGUCUUGUUUAACGGAUAAGCAAAAGAAAUAUGCACGCUCAGAUGUAUUAAAUUUAUGU
rnacentral:lncRNA from 1 species